AUUGACCGCUGGCGGCAUGCCUUACACAUGCAAGUCGAACGGUAACAGGUCUUCGGAUGCUGACGAGUGGCGAACGGGUGAGUAAUACAUCGGAACGUGCCUAGUAGUGGGGGAUAACUACUCGAAAGAGUGGCUAAUACCGCAUGAGAUCUACGGAUGAAAGCAGGGGAUCGCAAGACUUUGUGCUACUAGAGCGGCCGAUGGCAGAUUAGGUAGUUGGUGGGAUAAAAGCUUACCAAGCCGACGAUCUGUAGCUGGUCUGAGAGGACGAUCAGCCACACUGGGACUGAGACACGGCCCAGACUCCUACGGGAGGCAGCAGUGGGGAAUUUUGGACAAUGGGCGCAAGCCUGAUCCAGCAAUGCCGCGUGCAGGAUGAAGGCCUUCGGGUUGUAAACUGCUUUUGUACGGAACGAAAAGCCCUGGGUUAAUACCCUGGGGUCAUGACGGUACCGUAAGAAUAAGCACCGGCUAACUACGUGCCAGCCGCCGCCGUAA
rnacentral:rRNA from 1 species